rnacentral:lncRNA from 1 species
GCAAAGUUGAAUAUUUAGUUGUCCUCUCCACAAAGAGAUUUUUCUCUCAUUGUUUGCCUUAGAGGUCAUGAGGUAUAUUUUCAUUAAUAAGAUACAAGGCCGGGCGCGGUGGCCCAGCACUUUGGGAGGCCGAGACGGGCGGAUCACGAGGUCAGGAGAUCGAGACCAUCCUGGCUAACAUGGUGAAACCUCGUCUCUACUAAAAAAAUACAAAAAACUAGCCGGGCAAGGUGGCGGGCGCCUGUAGUCCCAGCUACUCGGGAGGCUGAGGCAAGGAGAAUGGCGUGAACCCGGGAGGCGGAGCUUGCAGUGAGCUGAGAUCCGGCCACUGCACUCCAGCCUGGGCGACAGAGCGAGACUCCGUCUCAAAAAAAAAAAUAAGAUACAAAAUAGUGGCCUUUCCUUCUAGAAAACUUCAGAAAAAGGAGACGAAGAGAAUCUGAGCUCCUCUGCCUACUGAAGAGAUACUGGCAUGUCAGGACAUGGACUGUGACCUUGUAAGAGUAGAGAAGAAGGUCUUGUAGUUGAUAGAUGCAGCCUGGGUCACCAGGUUUGAACCUUUCACAGAGCAUAAUCCAGAUCAGCAGGGAACUCACCUGAGGCCAACACACCUGUGUGGUUCCUAGGCUACAGUCUGAAGAGCCCUGCAAUCCACAGUGAGACAUCCUACCACCCUGCCCAAGACAACAUGUUCCACAUUUCUCAAGGAAAGAGAGACCUUUCAGAAAUAGAGAUGAAUCUCUAUAAUGAGAAGACAAAUAGCAGUUAGGAGAACGUUGGCUUUCUUCCCCAAGUGAGGGCAUUAAGGAUGGCUGUGACACAGAUCAGGUAUGGAUUCAGAUAAUGGGGACUACAGGACAAAAGACUCUUCCAAAGCCAGGAUCUCAGCCCCAAAACCAAAGGAUGAGGAAUUCUCCAUUCACAGAAAUUGUGGCAGAAUAUCAGCACUUGUCAUCUUUUUGAGGAUGAUUCAUCAAAAGGCUAUCUCCUGGCCAGGUGCGGUCACUCACGCCUGUAAUCCCAGCACUUUGGGAGGCCGAGGUGGGCAGAUCACCUGAGGUUGGGAGUUCGAGACCAGCCUGGCCAACAUAGUGAAAAUCCAUCUCUCCUA